UAAUUUUGCCCGGCUCCAAAUUAUUUUUUAUCAGUCCUAGUUUUUCCUCUAGCUUUUCCAGGAAGCUUCGUUAUCUCCGCCCCCCACAACAUCAGCAUGUCACCGUCUGCUGACGGAACCGUCAAAUGCGCCUGCCGAUGCUCCUCUUCGUCCCUCGAGAAUGGCGGUUUCAACGAUGACUCCGCCGAUUAUGGUCGUUUAAGUUCGGUUGACGGGACUUGCUCGCAUUGCGCCGGAUCAAAACCUUCGUCAAAUUCUUCCUCUGCGCUUGCUUUUGGUACGGUUCCGUUAACGCAGUCGGAGAAGUUGCAGAGAUUCCUCGUCGCCUCAGCUAAAGGUUUCUCGAUCGGG
rnacentral:lncRNA from 1 species